rnacentral:rRNA from 1 species
UACGAAGGGUGCAAGCGUUACUCGGAAUCACUGGGCGUAAAGCGUGCGUAGGCGGUUGGUUAAGUCUGCUGUGAAAGCCCUGGGCUCAACCUGGGAACUGCAGUGGAUACUGGCCAGCUCGAGUGUGAUAGAGGAUGGUGGAAUUCCCGGUGUAGCGGUGAAAUGCGUAGAGAUCGGGAGGAACACCAGUGGCGAAGGCGGGCCAUCUGGAUCAACACUGACGCUGAGGCACGAAAGCGUGGGAAGCAAACAGGG